GACGAACGCUGGCGGCGUGCCUAAUACAUGCAAGUCGAACGCAGUGGGGACGGGGGAGUAACACGUGGGUAACCUCCCAUCAGAGGGGAUAACACUUGGAAACUGGUGCUAAACCGAUAUUGGUGGAUGGACUCGCUGGGCAUUAGCUAGUUGGUGGGGUAACGGCUCACCAGGGCCACGAUGCAUAGCCGGUCUGAGAGGGUGAUCAGCCACACUGGGACUGAGACACGGCCCAGACUCCUACGGGAGUCAGCAGUAGGGAAUCUUCGGCAAUGGGCGAAAGUCUGAUCGAGCAACGCCGCGUGAGUGAAGAAGGUUUUCGGAUCGUAAAGCUCUGUUGUUAAGGAAGCGUUAUCUACCCAGGAAGCCCCGGCUAACUACGUGCCAGCAGCCGCGGUAAUAC
rnacentral:rRNA from 1 species